GGCAUGGUGAUUUAGUGGUUAGCACGUUUGCCUUGCACGUUCGGGGUUGGGGGUUCCAUUCCCUCCUCUGCCC